UCCGUAGGUGAACCUGCGGAGGGAUCAUUACCGAGUUUACAACUCCCAAACCCCAUGUGAACAUACCUGUUUCGUUCCCUCGGCGGUGUCCGGCAACGGCCCGCCAGAGGACCCAACAAACUCUUUUGAAUUUUUCAGUAUCUUCUGAGUAAAAAACAAAUAAAUCAAAACUUUCAACAACGGAUCUCUUGGUUCUGGCAUCGAUGAAGAACGCAGCGAAAUGCGAUAAGUAAUGUGAAUUGCAGAAUUCAGUGAAUCAUCGAAUCUUUGAACGCACAUUGCGCCCGCCAGUAUUCUGGCGGGCAUGCCUGUUCGAGCGUCAUUUCAACCCUCAAGCUCAGCUUGGUGUUGGGGAUCGGCAAGGCGUCCUCCGGGUCGCGCCGUCCCCCAAAUUUAGUGGCGGUCUCGCUGUAGCUUCCUCUGCGUAGUAAUACACCUCGCUCUGGAGUCUCGGUGCGGCCACGCCGUAAAACCCCCAACUUUUUCUGGUUGACCUCGAAUCAGGUAGGACUACCCGCUGAACUUAAGCAUAUCAAUAAGCGGAG
rnacentral:rRNA from 1 species